CGGUUACGUCACAGCGCCGCGACUAGGCCUGUCCCAAUUCGAAGACUCCUUCAAAUGCGGUCGACGAAUCCGGCCUUCUUUUUGCCUGAAUGAAGGAUGGGUCCGGUGUAUCCUUCAAUAGGUAGCAUUUCCCAAGAUGCCUUGCGGGCCGGCUGGCAGAAAAACUUAAAAACAAUGGCGGACAGUGAAGCGGGAGCCGUCGGAGAGGAUUGCGCAUAUAAAUGAACAAAAGAGAAAACCAGGGAAUUUAUUAAGCUUAGGGCGGAGAUGGACCACAUGAUCACCGGAGCAAAGUAUUCGGCGGCUGUGGCAUGGAGACUAUUCUGGAGAAAAUGGGCAUCCAGGGGAAGGUGACAGCGAUGACCAGCUUCUGGAGCUGAUCAGGGAGGACACGAGGCUGCAGAGGGAGGCAGAGCAGCAGAGGGCACAGGAGAGAAGGGAGAACUUUGACAGCUUUUUACUUUGCUAGAAAAAAUGGUUAAUAAAGAUUAAACAUGUACAUAUAAAAGAAAUAUGUAAAUAAAAUCAGUUCUGCAUUAAACUCUUGAAUUUUAUUUUGUUUACAAAUGAGAAUUGUUUACUAGAGGGUAUCCGCUGGGUCUUGAAAAGUCUUAAAAGGUGAUAAAUCGGUUUUGGUCAAAUUAAGAGCCUUAGAAAGUAUUAAAAACUAUUAUCACAUCUUUGCUUAGGCUCAGCUUGUCGAAAGUAUUUUCUCUGAAUUAGCUCUCCAACAGUCAAGGAAAUGAUUAAAGAUCUAAAUAAAACUUCGAGCUCCAUCGUUUAAAGUUCCUUCUCCCUUCUGCUCAGCGGUUCCACGGUUGCUAGGCGACGGAAAGUUCACCGAGGGAGAGGCGGGAAUUCAUGAAGGCUAGGCCUGUCCAAAUUCAUAGCCGUUAACAUCCGGUCUACCCAGCCGACGGAGGACCCGGCCCACGUCGGCCGAGUAGACUGGGUCCUUCGAAGGAUGCAGACCCUGAAUUGAGGCACAGCCAUAGAGUGCCCUGAUAGGCCCACAAAGCGGAUGAAGCUCUGUGAUUUGUUCACUAAGCAGAUAGAGCACUAUGAUUGGCCCACCAUUAUGGACCAAUCACAGCUCUUUAUGUGUUUGAAACCCCUCUAGAGAGCUGUGAUUGGCCAGCCAGAAUGCUGUUGGGGCUGCAGAGGUUCCA